AUGACAGCCAGUCAUUCCACUGCCCCUGUCUUUUCUCCUCCCUUCCCUAAUCUUCCAUGGUCGCCAGAUCCCUCCCUCCAUAGCUGGCGCUCCCUGCGUUCAAGCUUGGCAUGCUCGCCGGUGACGCCGGCCCCUUACCGCACACGCCGGACUACCGACCUCUCAGGCGGGGGGCGCACGCCGACCCCAGGAAGAGAGAAGCGAAGAUUUUGUGCCGGCUUCUUGCUCAGCUGGGAAUUUGAAGAGGACGGCUGUGGCCAUGGCCUUGGAGGAGGUGGAAGUUCCCGUCCCCACAGAGAAGUUGUCCACGGAUCCAAAUCUAGUCAUCCUAGUCCACCAUGCGUUCCCUUAUUCAACUGGAUGACCGCAGAGACGGGGGAAGGCGGGGUGGUGUUGUGCUGGUGGCCACCGGGAGCUUCAACCUUCCCACCUACAUGCACAGGCAUGUUUGAGCUUGCGAAGGAUGAGUUGCAGCAGCGAGGUACAUGCGUACCAUUGGAUUUUCGCUAUCACAUAAGGCAAUGCAGAAAGGACGGCUUAGCUGAUCAAGGAAGUGUCAAGGUAAUGCUGCUAUGUGGUUCUGACCUGCUCGAGUCAUUCAGCAAGCCAGGGGUUUGGAUUCCAGAUCAGGUACAAAACUUGAACACUUUUUGUCAAAGGAAGAAGUCGAACCUAAAGAAGUCCUCGGAAGAAUCACAGCUGCGUGUGCCCGGCUGGUUCAGGGGACGCGACAGGCGCUGGCGCCCUGCCCCGGCGGGCGUGUGCGUGGCGGCGUGGGUGCCAGUGCAGGGCGGGCACGGCGGUGCGGGUGCCGUGGCAGGCUCUCUCCUGGGCAAUGGCGAUCUCGCAGGACGGAUGCCACGCUACGAGCGGCAACAAUCGGCGAUGGCGAUCGUGCACGGAGGUGACGGGACGGUGCAGUGCGGCGUGGUCGCCGCGCAGGCAGGAGACGCCAUUGGUUGGCGGCGGGACGCGCGGGGCUGGUCGUUCGACUACUACUCUCCUGGUGAAGUACGUCAAUCCCUCGCACAGCCUUCAUCGUUGUCCGUUAUUAUCCUCCUCAAUCACCUCGCACAGCCGCCGCCGCCGCCGACCCGACCCUCGACCGUGGCGACGACGGCGUCCCUCCUGUCGGUCGCGCCGCCGCUGCCCCAAAUCGUCACACAGCCGCAGCUGCCUAUACUUUUUCUCGCCCCUCCCCUAAUCCAGUUUCCGUCCAAAGCCGCCACCGCAAACAAGGGAUCCCACCGGACCUCUCCGCCGCCGCAAUCAAGUGAUCCCGCCGGACCUCGCCGCCGCCGCCAUCAAGGGAUCCCGCCGGACCUCGUCGCCGCCGCAAUCAAGGGAUCCCGCUGGAUUGCCGCCAGGUUUCUGGCCCGCCGCCAGGAGCCGCAGGAACUGCAUGCCAUCAGGCACGGCGUGCCGAGCCCGCCGAAGCCUCCUCUGCCCCACCGCCCCUGCAGCGCAUCCCUCCGUCGAGCAUCCGGUCAUGCCGAGCAACGCCGCGGACCAGUCCGUAGGCAGGUAGCCACCCUUCCUCCACCCACUUCCGUGACCCCCUCCCAUUACCUUCCCAUCACACUAGAUUGA
rnacentral:rRNA from 1 species